UACGUAGGGUGCGAGCGUUAAUCGGAAUUACUGGGCGUAAAGCGUGCGCAGGCGGUUGGUUAAGUCUGAUGUGAAAGCCCCGGGCUCAACCUGGGAAUGGCAUUGGAAACUGGCUGGCUAGAGUGUGGCAGAGGGGGGUGGAAUUCCGCGUGUAGCAGUGAAAUGCGUAGAGAUGCGGAGGAACACCGAUGGCGAAGGCAGCCCCCUGGGUCAAGACUGACGCUCAUGCACGAAAGCGUGGGGAGCAAACAGG
rnacentral:rRNA from 1 species